rnacentral:rRNA from 1 species
GAUGAACGCUAGCGGCAGGCUUAACACAUGCAAGUCGAGGGGUAACAGGAUUUAGUUUACUAGAUUUGCUGACGACCGGCGCACGGGUGAGUAACGCGUAUACAAUUUUGCCUUUUACUGGAGGAUAGCCCAAAGAAAUUUGGAUUAAUACUCCAUAAUAAUGUUGGAUCGCAUGGUUCGGCAUUUAAAGUUCCGGCGGUAAGAGAUGAGUAUGCGUCCUAUUAGCUAGUUGGUAAGGUAACGGCUUACCAAGGCGACGAUAGGUAGGGGUCCUGAGAGGGAGAUCCCCACACUGGUACUGAGACACGGACCAGACUUCUACGGGAGGCAGCAGUGAGGAAUAUUGGUCAAUGGAGGCAACUCUGAACCAGCCAUGCCGCGUGCAGGAAGACGGCCCUAUGGGUUGUAAAGCACUUUCAGUGGGGAAGAAAAGCCUGAAGAUAAUACCUUCGGGUCUUGACGGUACCCACAGAAGAAGCACCGGCUAAUUCCGUG